rnacentral:rRNA from 1 species
AGCAGCCGCGGUAAUUCCAGCUCCAAUAGCGUAUAUUAAAGUUGUUGCAGUUAAAAAGCUCGUAGUUGAAUUUCGGGAUUGACGUGAUGGUCGUGCCUUAAGGGGUAUGAACUGUUGCUGUUGAUUUCUCACCUUCUGGAGAAACUUGAUGUCCUUAAUUGGGUGUCUUGCGGAUCCAGGACCUUUACCUUGAAAAAAUUAGAGUGUUUAAAGCAGGCAUUUUGCUCGAAUACAUUAGCAUGGAAUAAUAGAAUAGGACGGCAUGGUUCUAUUUUGUUGGUUUCUAGGAUCACCGUAAUGAUUAAUAGGGAUAGUUGGGGGCAUUAGUAUUCAAUUGUCAGAGGUGAAAUUCUUGGAUUUAUUGAAGACUAACUACUGCGAAAGCAUUUGCCAAGGAUGUUUUCAUUAAUCAAGAACGAAAGUUAGGGGAUCGAAGACGAUCAGAUACCGUCGUAGUCUUAACCAUAAACUAUGCCGACUAGGAAUCAGACGAUGUUAAUUUUUAAUGACUCGUUU